UACGUAGGGGGCUAGCGUUGUCCGGAAUCAUUGGGCGUAAAGCGCGUGUAGGCGGUCCGGUAAGUCCGCUGUGAAAGUCGGGGGCUCAACCCUCGGAUGCCGGUGGAUACUGUCGGGCUUGAGUACGGAAGAGGCGAGUGGAAUUCCUGGUGUAGCGGUGAAAUGCGCAGAUAUCAGGAGGAACACCAAUAGCGAAGGCAGCUCGCUGGGACGUUACUGACGCUGAGACGCGAAAGCGUGGGGAGCAAACAGG
rnacentral:rRNA from 1 species